rnacentral:lncRNA from 1 species
AGGCAGAGGGGGAGGAAGGAGGCUGGCUGAAGACCAGGAACAGAGAGAAGAGCCCACUUCUCCAUCAAAAGGUCUGUUCGGUUAACGCAUCCCCAGAGCAGGAGUUAAUCGAGGACUGGAUGCAGUGUAAAAGGAUCAAAAGAAUGUGAAUAAUGGUCUCUGUGCUCAUCAGCUCUGGAACAUUUCGCUGUGUUGAGGAGAAGAAGAUGAAAACCAAGCUUUGAGACGCACGUAAAUGUAUCAUAAGCUACCCGACCGAUAUAUAAACAUAUAUAGGUUCUUUGCAUGUAAAUCCAAAAGAAGAGCACCCCAGAAGCCUCUGGAGGAGGGAGGGGGCUGGAGCAGCAAAACUUGGCAGAGCAAAUGUAUCCAAGGAUUUCGUGCCAGAAUUCCUGAGAAGCUUUGGAGGAAGAGGAAGAAAAAGAAAAAUAUGAAAUUAUCCCUAAACACACACUUGAAACUGGAGACGCCUAAAGGAGAGUAGAAACGGAGAAGAUGAGGUUUUUCUGGGAACCACGGAUCCGUCAGCCAAAUGAGCAAUCGCCACAGAAAAUCCUAGGCGGAGCGGUAGCUCCAGAUGGGUCCCCUGCUCGCGUCCCCGCCGCUGCCGCUGCUACCUGUAGACAGGCACACACACACACACACACAACUAGAUCUACCCUCCUGCCGGGCGGUCCUGCUCACCAGCUCCGGCUCACUACUCCUGACAGCCUUGUAGCACAGCAUCACUUCCCCCAGGUCGGGGGGGGGGGGGGGAGCCUCCACAGCAGCCGCCUAGGUGCUGGUGGCGGCCCCCUCCCUUUACUAAGUUCCGCCUUCUCUGGUCCCUCCAACCCGCGGUAGCCCGAACACCCCGCAGCGCCCACGGCGCCAGCAACGUCCGAGGUUGCAGGAAGGGUGAAGGGCCCUGGGCGUCACUCGUGACGUCUUCUAAGCCUCUUGGAGCGGCAACUAAAUGCGGGUUGGCAAGGUGGAGGUGGCGGUGGCGGUGGCGGUGGCGGGCCACCUGCAAGAAGCCUCCUGCAAGCUGAGUUUCUUGGUCCUUGGUGCCUUGGUGCUGUGUUUCAGGGGCCUGGGAUUGGUGAGAGGGGAGACUGGACCUGGGGGAAACAGCAUACCACUGAGUAUCGCAGGAUCUCACCCAGACCAGCAAACUCCCCUCAAAUUCCCUUUAAGUAGGAGCAGGCUGGUCCCUGAACUGGUAGGAGCAUUAUAAAUGUCUAGUACUAUUAGUCUCUCCUCUCCAGCUGUGCCCACAUUCUUAACUGCUGGAGAGUCAACGUUUAAAAAUCCACCACAGUAAUCAUUAUUGGCUUUUGUGACUUGUGAAGGGUGUGAUGCCUAGCAGUGCACUCUUGCACCCAGUCACAACCUACUAGCCUCUGUGAUCUCUUUGAAAGAGAAGAGAGAAGCUGAGACCCACUGAAAUAAUUGAUGACCACCUGUAACAAUCUUAACCAAAAGGAGAAUGAGGAGUUGCUCUGAGAAACCAGAGACACACAAGCUACAGCUCUCUUUUCUAUCUUGGGGUUCGUCUCAUUCGUCUUAGUCUAAGUCUCUAAAAUUCAGAGGAAUGGGUUACCCCAAAUAGCAACCCAAUGAAGGCGAUUGUCCUAACAGAUUUAAGGUAAUUGUUGCUAUUUGUUAAUUAAUACUAACCAAUAGGAACUGUGAGAUUCUGUCACAGUCAUGCUGGUUUUCAGAACAACCUUGAUCAUGACAUAUUUUCCCCACUUGGAAGGAUCCUGAAGGCACUUUUCCAUAGUUUUGCGACUUAGUACAUCUUUUUUGUUUAUUUGGUUUUGUUUUGGUUUUGGUUGUUUUCCUUUCAAGGAAGUAACCUAUAGGUAUGCCUAGGACAAUAAGGCUUCACUCUGAAUCAAGCCUGGGACACUUGGCUACUGCUCUUCCUUCUCUAGUCUUGCUAAUUCAACUUGAAACCUUCAAAAUUUCUAUGCAGCUUUCCAGAAAGUUGAAAACAAGUAAGUGUUCUCAUAUCAGCAACACUAUUUCAUCGAAUCUUUAACUUCCAGGAGAUAGCACACUUAAAAUAUUAUAAUAUGUAGGGCAUAUGGUACAUACCUUUAAUUUAAUUGAAUCAGUUCAGUCCUAGCAUUCAAGAGGCAGAGGCAAGAGGACCUCUGAGUUCAAGGCCAGCCUGGCUAAAACUAAUGAGGAAGAAGCCAUUUUAAAAGAAACAAACAAAGGUAGCAUCAUGAGAGAGGCUAUCAUAGUAAUUACAACAUUAAGCUUUUAAACAAGAAGCAAAGACAAUUCAGUAAAGAUGCCACUUGUAACUUCCAUAAGCUUCUGUGUAAUCUGCUGUCUCCUCAUCCCGUGGCCACCCUUUGCAGCUGUCCUGCUAAGCUCUAAACGUAGUAAUUGAACAUUGCUUAUUUCCAAUAUUCUAUAUCAAUAAGAUGACAUUACUUUUAGAUAAGUCCUAUUGUAGCUUUACAUUAUUCUUUGUGAGAACGAAAUCUAUACACUGAACAUUAUAAUCUCAUUUUCAUGAGUUACUUAAAAGAAAAGCUCAAGAAGGUUAACAAAACAGACGUGCCAGACAGGCAACAUUUGUCACCGUCUGUGUGUGCCAUGAACCUGUGAUGGAUAAGGCUGUCUAGUUGGAGCUAUAAUCAUUUUAGAGACAGGCUUCUGGGCACCCUGGUCAAGGACUAUACUUGUUAGUUUUUUUCUUUUAUUUUUACUGUGACUUUAUCUGUCUAUCUCUCUCUCCCUCCUCCUCCUUCCCCUGUGUGUGUUGGAGGGGUGUGUGUGUGAAAGAAUGGGGUGUGGGAGGGUCCCUGGGGACAUCAGAAGAAAGCAUUGGAUAUCCUGGAGCUGGAAUUACAAGUAGUUGUGAACUUUCUAAACGGAGGUUCUCUGGAUGAAAAGCUAGUGCUUGUCUGAGAACUUGUCUUGGCUAGGGGUGGUAGAAGUCACUACUCCCUAGCUGGGGAUUCUGGAAAUAACUAAGCAAGUUCUGCAUGCCUUCCCCUCUUUGCUUCCUAACUGGAGAUGCACUAGGCCUAGUUCCCCCAAACUGCUGCCUUUGUGACUUUCUACCUCUGUGGACUGUAUUCAGGGACUGUAAGCAAAAGUAAACCUCUUCUCGCUUAUGCUACUUCUGCGACAGUAUUUUGUCACAGCAACAAGAAAUUAAGACACAUUCAUAAGAGCCGAACUUCUAUUGAUCAGUUUUUUUCCACAUCCCCCACUAUAGCUCUCAAGGAAAUAAGCCCACCCAUGUCAUUUGGUGCCGAAGCCACUAACCUCACAUUCCACUUCUGCAAAACUGGAAUACUACUAGCACCUGCCUGGUGGUAUUGCUGUGUUUAUCAUAACAAUGCACAUAAACUUGGAACACUAAGGAUAUGUGUUUUCAGGGGUUCUAAUUUAGCAUCGUUAUGAUGUCUUUUCUCUUUUGACUAAAAUACCAAUACACAGAAGGGCAUUUGUUUUUCGUGUUGAAAAUCAGUCAUACUACUUGAGUGCAGUAUGACUUCAUGGACAAGUCAAUAGUGAUUUGAGCAUGAUUUCCUAGGCUAUGCCUUCCUUUAUUCUCUUCUCCUUUUCUUUUCUUUUCUUUUCUUUUCUUUCCCUUUCUUUUCUUCUUUUCUUUUCUUUUCUUUUUUUUCCUUCCUUUCUUUCUUUUUUAUUUUGUGAUAAGGCAUUAAGUAUCACACACUGGCCACCAACUCACUAUGUAACCAAGAAUGGUCUGGAAUUUCUCACCCUUUAUUCUCUGACUCCCCAGACAUUACAGGUAUGUGUCACCACAGUCAUUACUGUUCUUUUACCGCUUAAGUUUAGCACGGAGAGACAUAUUGGACACAAUUAUAAUCUAGAAAGUACUGAUCAUUAAAGGUCAUGUGGCCUUCUGGGUUGUGAAGUUAAUGGUGCUCAAAUACAAAGUCUGUCAUUAAGUCAGAGGCUGUCUGCAAGUCUCAGUAAAGUAAAAACCACACAAAUUCUCUGUAAAAUUUGCACAAACACAUCUGCUCACUUGCAGAUUUGGGAGGAAGUCUUGGAAUAAAAUAAAUAAAAACACUGGUAUUUUUUUUUUAAUCAUUGGCUCCAAAAGGCCUAGGUUUGAAAACUAUGUAUUUAUUUAUUUAUUUACUAACUUAUUUAUUUAUUUAUGAUAGAGUGAAGGCAGAUGUCUCUAAAGAAGUAUACAUUCAUCUUUAUAAGUGUGUUUAUGUUCAUGUGUGUGUGUGUUCAUAUUGUCAGAUAGCUGUGAUAAUAACAUCUUUCCCAGAAAUGAAUGGUUAAAAUAUGGGGAAAAGAAAGGCUUGAGUGUAUAUUUGAGACACCUCAAUGUGCUAGUGUGUGUUCUAGGUGUGUUUUCAAUCUAGAAUGUCACUAAGUGGGAAGAUUUCAACCCCUCCCCAGUAAUUACAUAUACAAAGAAAAUUAAAUAACAUGUUCUCCUCAAGUGAAGAAAAAGCAAUGGGUAUUACUCAUUCUUUGGAAAAGUCUUGAAGACUCACAGCAGGAAAUUAAUAUUUUUCCCCUUCCCAAAGAGCUUAAGAAGAAAGAGUGUUAAUAAAGUGUUACCCUGAGAUGAAAUUUUAUUGCAGUGUUCAUCAUAAAUUACAUGCAUUUUACUUAAAAUGGGUUAAAUAUAAAUAAUAUGCCAAGAAGGAGCUUAUAGGGCAAUGACAGCUCAUAUUUCUACUUUGAAGAAGUAAAAGACAAAGGUGAUUAAUCUGUUAAAUUGUGACAUUAUAAAGGGAACCACCUGACCAGCUUCCUGGCAGCAUCCUGUUAGGUGGGCAAAGGGUAUAGAUAUUAGAAAUGCUAGUAAGUCAGAGGGAAACGUCUAGAAUUACUAGCCCAGUAGUGUAGAGUAUCCAUUUGGCCACAGUCCAGGUGGUUGGCACACAAACAUUAUUCUUCUGCCCGUAUCAUCUCUAUAUACAGCAUAUCUAAAUCCAUCCACCCUGUAUCUGGCCCUAACCAAGUCAAAUCCUCCUACAACUUACAUUUCCUGGGAUCCAAAACCCAAUGUGUUUUCAGCCCAGCACAUCUUUAUUUAGCUUUCUUUCCACUGUAGAUCUCCCAGUUUCUACUAUUGCUAAGUUCAUCGGUCUCCUAGGAAAAUCCUAAUGAUUUCUUGGAUUAUCCCAGCUACUCUGCUUACCUACCGGUGUUGCCUACGACAAUACAACAGCAAACAUAUCCCUCAGGCACAGAUGAUUUGUGUUUUCUCUUCGUGGCAUUAAUCUGCAUAUCCUGUGAUGUACUUCCAGUCAAUCUUGUGCAUGAUCAUUAAAUCUGUGAUGAUUUUC